rnacentral:rRNA from 1 species
AGAAUCAACGCUGGCGGCGUGCCUAACACAUGCAAGUCGAACGCGAAAGCCCCGCAAGGGGCCGGUAGAGUGGCAAACGGGUGAGUAACACGUGGGUGACCUGCCUUCGAGCGGGGGAUAACGUCCCGAAAGGGACGCUAAUACCGCAUGACAUCCUGCCUUUGAAGAGGCGGAGAUCAAAGCUGGGGAUCGCAAGACCUAGCACUCGAUGAGGGGCCCGCGCCUGAUUAGCUAGUUGGUGGGUAAUGGCUCACCAAGGCAACGAUCAGUA